CCCCCAGCCGCUCUCACAGGUUUGUUAUGUAACCGCCGGGCCAGCCCCGCCCUCAGGGUGGGCUGAGGUGCGGCUCCCUGGAGACCCCGCCCGCUAGCCGGGAGCCAGCGGCGCAGUGCGAGUUCAGCCCGCUUUCUUCGCGCUCCGCGUCAAAUCUCUCCAGCUCUGUUCUCGCAUCCCGGGUUUAGAUCCCGCAGAGUUAAGUAUCCCGCGUGUGAAGGGAUGAACUGAGACUCCCAGAGGGCAUAACUGAUGGAGGCACGAAGAUGUCUGCUCUUCAGCUUUGCCAAGGUUGAACACAUUGUGAGUAGAAGAUCUCUUUCCCCAGGAAAUA
rnacentral:lncRNA from 1 species